rnacentral:rRNA from 1 species
UACAGAGGGUGCGAGCGUUAAUCGGAAUUACUGGGCGUAAAGCGUGCGUAGACGGUUACGUAAGUCGGGUGUGAAAGCCCCGGGCUCAACCUGGGAAUUGCAGUCGAGACUGUUCGGCUAGAGUGUGGGAGAGGGCAGUGGAAUUCCCGGUGUAGCGGUGAAAUGCGUAGAUAUCGGGAGGAACAUCAGUGGCGAAGGCGACUGCCUGGCCCAACACUGACGCUGAGGUGCGAAAGCGUGGGUAGCAAACAGG